rnacentral:rRNA from 1 species
AUGAAUAGGUUUGGGGGAAGAUUUGAUGGAGGAAGAGGGAGAUUCAAUAGAGGGGAGAGAGAGGGAUGGCAGUACAAAAGGAAAGAAGAGGGUGAAAAUCACUACAGGAACUUGCCACCUUGGGAGGAAAGAAGAGAUCCUGCUGGAGGAAGAGAGUCUGGACGGAGCCAAGAGAGACAAGAGGUCCGGCAAGAAGUAGCAUCAGGAGGGAGAGGCGAAGAUGAGGAAAGUGUGAAGAAUAAGGACAAAAGGAAAGAGGAAGGGCAGAGGAUUGAGCAGGGGACCGCGUCUGGAGCUUUGGAGAAAGGUGGACAAGAGCUACUUCAACAACAACAGGUACUGCUCAAUGCCCUUCUAGCGCAAAUAUCGCAAGGGAAAAAUCUUGCUGGUGGUGAGGCAAAUAUUAGAUCUGGUGGUGGUACUGCUCAAGGCAGCGGGGGAAGUGAAAUCAGAGACAGUGGGAUGAACAGAGGGGUGCCUGACCCCAGGAGCGUAGGGAUUCAAGGAAGAGAAGCCCUGAUGAGCUACAACACAGGUGGGACUCAAAGGCAGAGGAACUUUGGUGCUGGGGAUGGAGAUACCUACACUAACAGAAGCCAGCGGGAGGGAGGAAGGACAUGA